AGUACCCGUCCAAAAAAGACUUGUCCUGUCUAACUUAAAAGAAUUAUACCAAUGUUUUCGGAAAAUAAACGCUGCAGAGAAAAUUGGAUUUUCGAGAUUUGCUUCUCUGCGACCUAAACAUUGUGUGUUAGCAGGGGCAAGUGGAACACAUACCAUCUGUGUCUGUACGAUCCAUCAAAACGUUAAGUUAAUGAUGCUUGGUGCGAAUAUUCAUUCUCUAACAAGAAAUACAGAUAUAUCCAUUACACACUAAAGUGAUUGUUUGAGUUUGAUUGUAUGUAAAUCUCCAUCGUUUCUAUGUUAUUUGGAUAGAUGUGAAAACUGUCCAGGGGUAGAUGAGUUGAGUAACCUUUUACUGGCAUGUUUUGAAAAUCACGAAAUUGAGAAUAUUACAUAUAAGUAUUGGAUAUCUAAACCGAGAAGCAGUUUAGAAACUAUUAUUAAGCCUAUAGAAGAAUUUGUUGAAGAUUUUUGUACUGAAUUGAAAACUCUUCUACCUCACUCAUUUAUUGCUAAAGAACAAGCAAAAUUUUUGAAAACAUU
rnacentral:lncRNA from 1 species